CAAUGCAUAGUUAGAGGAAACUAAAAGUGAGGAAACCUCACUUCCUUAACAUGUGUUGUGGAGGGAAGCUCGUGUGGGCAAGGAUCAUGCUGUCGAUCCCGAAGUUCAGAGAGUUUUUACUGAAUGUGAGACCUUGUCGCAAUCGGCAUCCACCGGUGAGGGGAGCGUACUUAGUAGAGCACUAGAUGCUCCUGAGUAUCCCGGUCGGGUGAGGGGUAAGGGUCAUGGUGUGACUCCAACCUCUUUUUACAAGAGUCCUAGGAGAAGAAAUCCUUCAAAUGAAGAAGUGUUGCAAAAGUUGGCGGAAUUGCAAGCACAAGUCUCUGAAUUGCAAAGAGAUAAAGAAGCGUAUAUGAGAGAAAAGUGCAACACUUCAUCGGUGAAAGAAACUAGUGAUAAGGCUAGUAUCAACUAUCAAAGGAAAUUUCCCGAGGGCAUUUCAUCUUGCCAACUAUACUUAUCGGAACCGAAUUAUCGACUAGUUGGCAAGGGAAAAGUGCACAACACUUUGGGAGAUUUACUUCACCAUAGACCGCUCCCGGAUGGACACAUGAAAGUAUCGGUGGAUGUUGUAGUAGAUCAUGAUGCGAUGCUACCGGUACCUGACAUGGUCUCAGAGACGACAUUGCUGCGAGAUGCAAUAGGAUCAUUU